rnacentral:rRNA from 1 species
UUGAAAGGGAAACGAUUGAAGUCAGUCGUGCUGGCGCGAAAUCAACCUUCUCGUCUUGAGAUCACAUGGCGUGGCGAGCCUCAAAACCGUCACGAAGCGUGAACUCUUGGUGAAAUGGAGCACUUUCGUGUCCGCUGGUUAACAUCAAUUUCGAACGUCAUAAAAAGGCUGGAGGGAUGUGGCUCCUUCGGGAGUGUUAUAACCUUUAGCGGAAUGUGGUGUUCGGGAUUGAGGACUGCAACGAAUACCUUUAGGGCUGUUCCACCUGGCUUCUCUUUGGUAUCCUGGUGACGACAGCUUGCUGACGUCGUUAGGAUUCGCCUUUGAACAGGCUAGAGUGUGAGCAAAUUCGUUAAGGAUGUUGACGUA